UAUUAACAUCUGGUUGAAAUGGAGAAAGGCAAGAGGAAAAACAAGAAAAUAAGAACCCUGAAGAAUAUGAUUUUUUGGACUGUACAGAUUUAGAUGAAAGGCAUAAACUAAAUCCAAUGAUUGACAUUGUUAAACCUAAAACACCAAACACAAGUGAGGUAGCUCUACUGCUGAAGACAUUUGUAAGGAAGCU
rnacentral:sRNA from 1 species